AGGAAUUACAUUUUUAGACACAGCUGAUGUUUAUGGACCUUACACCAAUGAAGUCUUGGUUGGCAAGGCCUUGAAGCAAUUGCCUAGAGAAAAAAUACAGUUGGCUACAAAAUUCGGUGUUGCUGUCAACAACUUCGAUUUUAAAAAUGCUUUAAUUAAUGGCAAACCUGAAUACGUCCGUGCAUGCUGUGAGGCUAGCCUCAAUCGUCUUGGCGUUGAAUAUAUUGAUCUGUACUAUCAACAUCGCAUUGACACUUCUGUACCAAUAGAGGAAACUAUGAGGGAGCUUAAGAAAUUAGUGGAAGAAGGAAAAAUUAAGUACAUUGGGUUAUCUGAAGCAAGUCCUGACACAAUAAAGAGGGCACAUUCAGUUUAUCCCAUCACAGCAGUGCAAAUGGAAUGGUCACUUUGGAGCCGUGACCUUGAGGAAG
rnacentral:misc_RNA from 1 species